rnacentral:rRNA from 1 species
CGAACGCUGGCGGCGCGCCUAACACAUGCAAGUCGAACGGAGCUGAGCGAAGCUUGCUUUUCUUAGCUUAGUGGCGAACGGGUGAGUAACGCGUGAGUAACCUGCCCUGGAGUGGGGGACAACAGUUGGAAACGACUGCUAAUACCGCAUAAGCCCACGAUCCGGCAUCGGAUUGAGGGAAAAGGAUUUAUUCGCUUCAGGAUGGACUCGCGUCCAAUUAGCUAGUUGGUGAGGUAACGGCCCACCAAGGCGACGAUUGGUAGCCGGACUGAGAGGUUGAACGGACACAUUGGGAUUGAGACACGGCCCAGACUCCUACGGGAGGCAGCAGUGGGGGAUAUUGCACAAUGGGGGAAACCCUGAUGCAGCGACGCCGCGUGGAGGAAGAAGGUUUGCGGAUUGUAAACUCCUGUCGUUAGGGACGAUAAUGACGGUACCUAACAAGAAAGCACCGGCUAACUACGUG